rnacentral:rRNA from 1 species
AGACCCGAAACCCGGUGAUCUAGCCAUGGGCAGGUUGAAGGUUGGGUAACACUAACUGGAGGACCGAACCGACUAAUGUUGAAAAAUUAGCGGAUGACCUGUGGCUGGGGGUGAAAGGCCAAUCAAACCGGGAGAUAGCUGGUUCUCCCCGAAAGCUAUUUAGGUAGCGCCUCGUGAAUUCAUCUCCGGGGGUAGAGCACUGUUUCGGCUAGGGGGCCAUCCCGGCUUACCAACCCGAUGCAAACUGCGAAUACCGGAGAAUGUUAUCACGGGAGACACACGGCGGGUGCUAACGUCCGUCGUGAAGAGGGAAACAACCCAGACCGCCAGCUAAGGUCCCAAAGUCAUGGUUAAGUGGGAAACGAUGUGGGAAGGCCCAGACAGCCAGGAUGUUGGCUUAGAAGCAGCCAUCAUUUAAAGAAAGCGUAAUAGCUCACUGGUCGAGUCGGCCUGCGCGGAAGAUGUAACGGGGCUAAACCAUGCACCGAAGCUGCGGCAGCGAACGUAUCACCCAAGACAACUUUACGGAGUUGACGAUUGACGGAGCGAAGCGACGUCAAAGCGUUCAUUAAAGUCGAGUUGGCUUAGGGAUACGUUCGUUGGGUAGGGGAGCGUUCUGUAAGCCUGUGAAGGUGUGUCGUGAGGCAUGCUGGAGGUAUCAGAAGUGCGAAUGCUGACAUAAGUAACGAUAAAGCGGGUGAAAAGCCCGCUCGCCGGAAGACCAAGGGUUCCUGUCCAACGUUAAUCGGGGCAGGGUGAGUCGACCCCUAAGGCGAGGCCGAAAGGCGUAGUCGAUGGGAAACGGGUUAAUAUUCCCGUACUUGGUGUUACUGCGAAGGGGGGACGGAGAAGGCUAUGUUGGCCGGGCGACGGUUGUCCCGGUUUAAGCGUGUAGGUGUGUGUUCCAGGUAAAUCCGGUUCACUUUAACACUGAGGCGUGAUGACGAGGCACUACGGUGCUGAAGCAACAAAUGCCCUGCUUCCAGGAAAAGCCUCUAAGCAUCAGGUAACAUCAAAUCGUACCCCAAACCGACACAGGUGGUCAGGUAGAGAAUACCAAGGCGCUUGAGAGAACUCGGGUGAAGGAACUAGGCAAAAUGGUGCCGUAACUUCGGGAGAAGGCACGCUGACACGUAGGUGAAGUGAUUUACUCACGGA